rnacentral:lncRNA from 1 species
AGGUGGGGAGAUAUCUGAAGCUAGACUGGGGAUCCCCUCCCAAACGGGAUCCUGGGGACUGGCAGACAGCUCAGCUGCCCCCCACUCUCCAUCAUCCCCAGGGCUCCACCGCAGCCCUGCUCCUCUGUCCUGUGUCCAGCCACCCUGGAAGAGAUGGGGGUGGAGUGCAAGGGACUUCAGUGCAGGGAGGGGCUGCAGGGAGGAGGAGGCGAGGUGGGUUUGAGGCCAGAAGACGGAGGGAGAUGGGGAAGAAGAGGGGCACCCAGAGCAGCCGACAGCAAACCUAGUGAGCAGUGACAAUCAAAACAGGGGCGGUUCACUGAAACUUCUGUGUGUCUGCUGGCUUCACACACUUUAUCUGGCUUAAUCUUCACUAGUAUUAUUCUUAAAUUUUAGUUUUGUAAAUGUUUGUAUUUUAUUUUGUUUAUUAGCUGGAAUUGCUAAUGCAUUUACACAUUUGAAUAUUUAAGAGGUGUGUGCAAUACUGAGUCUCCAUCUCCCCCGGCUCAUUCCCCAGGGACCAGGCUCCCUCCCUGGAGGCAGCCAGCUUCGCCAGCGACUUCCCUCCUCUUCCAGGCUGUCUGCGCAGACAAGCAAACAUAUGCAUAGAAAAGCAAAUAUAUACACAUACAUUUCCCACUUUUUAACCCAUUAAAGGCUGG